rnacentral:rRNA from 1 species
UACGGAGGAUGCGAGCGUUAUCCGGAUUUAUUGGGUUUAAAGGGUGCGUAGGCGGAUCAAUAAGUCAGUGGUGAAACCCUGCAGCUUAACUGUAGACUUGCCGUUGAUACUGUUGGUCUUGAGUAUGGUCAAGGUAGGCGGAAUGUGUAAUGUAGCGGUGAAAUGCUCAGAUAUUACACAGAACACCGAUUGCGAAGGCAGCUUGCUGGGCCAUUACUGACGCUGAGGCACGAAAGCGUGGGGAUCGAACAGG